UUGACCUCGGAUCAGGUAGGGAUACCCGCUGAACUUAAGCAUAUCAAUAAGCGGAGGAAAAGAAACCAACAGGGAUUGCCCUAGUAACGGCGAGUGAAGCGGCAACAGCUCAAAUUUGAAAUCUGGCGCAAGCCCGAGUUGUAAUUUGUAGAGGAUGCUUCAGGGCAGCGGCCGGUCUAAGUUCCUUGGAACAGGACGUCAUAGAGGGUGAGAAUCCCGUAUGCGACCGGUUGGCACCCGUCACGUAGCUCCUUCGACGAGUCGAGUUGUUUGGGAAUGCAGCUCUAAAUGGGAGGUAAAUUUCUUCUAAAGCUAAAUACCGGCCAGAGACCGAUAGCGCACAAGUAGAGUGAUCGAAAGAUGAAAAGCACUUUGGAAAGAGAGUUAAAAAGCACGUGAAAUUGUUGAAAGGGAAGCGCAUGCAACCAGACUUGUCGGCGGUGUUCCGCCGGUCUUCUGACCGGUCUAUUCGCCGCCGGCAGGCCAGCAUCAUCUGGGUGCGCCGGAUAAAGGCGCGGGGAAUGUAGCUCCUCGGAGUGUUAUAGCCCCGCGCACAAUACGGCGCCGCCCGGGUGAGGUCCGCGCUUCGGCUAGGAUGCUGGCGUAAUGGUUGUCUGCGGCCCGUCUUGAAACACGGACCAAGGAGUCUAACAUCUAUGCGAGUGUUCGGGUGUCAAACCCCUACGCGUAAUGAAAGUGAACGGAGGUGGGAAGCGCAAGCUGCACCAUCGACCGAUCCUGAUGUCUUCGGAUGGAUUUGAGUAAGAGCAUAGCUGUUGGGACCCGAAAGAUGGUGAACUAUGCCUGAAUAGGGUGAAGCCAGAGGAAACUCUGGUGGAGGCUCGCAGCGGUUCUGACGUGCAAAUCGAUCGUCAAAUUUGGGUAUAGGGGCGAAAGACUAAUCGAACCAU
rnacentral:rRNA from 1 species